CGAAUAGAUGAUGAGAAAUACAUAUAUAGAAAUACAAUAGAGUUUUGAACUUUGAUAAUUUUUUCACGCAACCAGUCCAAUCUUUGUCAGCAUUAGGAAUAGUAAUAGCGAGUAAAGAUAUAUGUUCUGAUUUAGAAAUAUUCAAAAUAAGUGAUAUAAAUUAUAAAUAUACAGCUUUGCCUUAUGGAGAACAAAUCGUCAUGAUGCCCAUUCUUCAUAACGUCAUCUGAUCGCUUCUAGCGAGUUUACCAAUAUAAAUACAACGAAUAACACUAAAUUAGAAGAAAAACUUGAUAUCAUUAUAGCCAACCAAAAAAAAAAGAUGUGGGCUCCUAUGGAACGAGAAGUGUGUUCCCGUUGCCCAACUUGGAAGCAUUAAAAAAACUGAAUGCAGAUAUAGUGGCAGGUUCCAGUGCAGACUAUAUAAAAAUCAUUAAAAAUAUAAUAGGCAAAACGGGGAUUAUUAAAUCUAUUGAGGGUAUUUUCGAAAGGAGUCUUAUUGUUCAGUUGAACUACGAUGGCAUUCAUUCCAAAUACUCCUUAAAGGAAUGCAAGGUGUUAAUCGACUGCUUGUUUGAGGCAUCAAUGAAAGAAGGAUAUUCCCAUGGCGAGUUUGUUAAAGACUUGCGACAAGCUUUAAAACUGGCGAAAAAUCGUCAUUUUAAAACAAACUCCAUAUUAAAAUCUAAAAAAUAAAAUAUUUAAAUAAAAUUAAU